rnacentral:rRNA from 1 species
CAGGGAAUAUUAGUAAUGGGCGAAAGCCUGAACUAGCAACGCCGCGUGUGCGAAGAAGGCCUUCGGGUUGUAAAGCACUUUUUGAGAGGAUGAGGAAGGACGGUACUCUCGGAACAAGUCUCGGCUAACUACGUGCCAGCAGCCGCGGUAACACGUAGGAGGCGAACGUUAUCCGGAUUUACUGGGCGUAAAGCGCGUGUAGGUGGUUUGGUAAGUAGGGCGUGAAAGCUCCUGGCUCAACUGGGAGAGGCCGUUCUAAACUGCCGAACUAGAGGAUGGUAGAGGGAGGUGGAAUUCCGGGUGUAGCGGUGGAAUGCGCAGAUAUCCGGAGGAACACCAGUGGCGAAAGCGGCUUCCUGGACCAUUCCUGACACUCAGACGCGAAAGCUAGGGUAGCAAACGG